CAAUAAGCGGAGGAAAAGAAACAACAGGGAUUGCCUUAGUAACGGCGAGUGAAGCGGCAACAGCUCAAAUUUGAAAUCUGGCGCUCUUGGGCGUCCGAGUUGUAAUUUGCAGAGGAUGCUUUUGGCGACGUGCCUUCCGAGUUCCCUGGAACGGGACGCCAUAGAGGGUGAGAGCCCCGUACGGUCUGGUGCCUAGCCUCUGUAAAGCUCCUUCGACGAGUCGAGUAGUUUGGGAAUGCUGCUCUAAAUGGGAGGUAAACUCCUUCUAAAGCUAAAUAUUGGCCAGAGACCGAUAGCGCACAAGUAGAGUGAUCGAAAGAUGAAAAGCACUUUGAAAAGAGAGUUAAAUAGCACGUGAAAUUGUUGAAAGGGAAGCGCUUAUGAUCAGACUGGGGCUUGGUGGUUCAGCCGUCCUUCUGGGCGGUGCAUUCUGCCGGUUCCGGCCAGCAUCAGUUGCCAGCUGGGUACAAAGGUUUUGGGAAUGUGGCUCUUCGGAGUGUUAUAGCCCACUGCGUCAUGCCCUUCUAGCGACUGAGGUUAGCGUUCUUCACGGAUGCUGGCAUAAUGGUUAUUAGCGACCCGUCUUGAAACACGGACCAAGGAGUCGUCCUGCUAUGCGAGUGUUUGGGUGCUAAACCCCUACGCGAAAUGAAAGUGAACGGAGGUGAGAGCUUCGGCGCAUCAUCGACCGAUCCUGAUGUUCUCGGAUGGAUUUGAGUAAGAGCAUAGCGGGCCGGACCCGAAAGAAGGUGAACUAUGCUUGGAUAGGGCAAAGCCAGAGGAAACUCUGGUGGAGGCUCGCAGCGGUUCUGACGUGCAAAUCGAUCGUCAAAUCUGAGCAUGGGGGCGAAAGACUAAUCGAACCUUCUAGUAGCUGGUUUCCACCGAAGUUUCCCUCAGGAUAGCAGUGCUGAUUCUCAGUUUUAUGAGGUAAAGCGAAUGAUUAGGGACUCGGGGGCGCUAUUUAGCCUUCAUCCAUUCUCAAACUUUAAAUAUGUAAGAAGCCUUUGUUGCUUUAGUGAACGAAGGCAUUAGAAUGUACAGCACUAGUGGGCCAUUUUUGGUAAGCAGAACUGGCGAUGCGGGAUGAACCGAUCGCGAGGUUAAGGUGCCUAAGUUGUCGCUCAUCAGACACCACAAAAGGUGUUAUCACAUCUUGACAGCAGGACGGUGGCCAUGGAAGUCGGAAUCCGCUAAGGACUGUGUAACAACUCACCUGCCGAAUGUGAUAGCCCUGAA
rnacentral:rRNA from 1 species